UACGAAGGGGGCGAGCGUUGUUCGGAAUCACUGGGCGUAAAGCGCGCGCAGGCGGGUGGGCAAGUCGGGAGUGAAAGUCCGGGGCUCAACCCCGGGAUGGCUACCGAUACUGCUCGUCUAGGGACCGGUAGAGGCCGGUGGAAUUCCCGGUGUAGCGGUGGAAUGCGUAGAGAUCGGGAAGAACACCUGUGGCGAAGGCGGCCGGCUGGGCCGGAUCCGACGCUGAGGCGCGAAAGCGUGGGGAGCAAACAGG
rnacentral:misc_RNA from 1 species